AUUGAACGCUGGCGGCAUGCCUUACACAUGCAAGUCGAACGGGGGUAGCAAUACCCUAGUGGCGAACGGGUGAGUAAUGCAUCGGAACGUACCCAGUUGUGGGGGAUAACGUAGCGAAAGUUACGCUAAUACCGCAUACGCACUGAGGUGGAAAGCGGGGGACCUUCGGGCCUCGCGCAAUUGGAGCGGCCGAUGUCGGGUUAGCUAGUUGGGGAGGUAAAAGCUCACCAAGGCGACGAUCCGUAGCUGGUCUGAGAGGACGACCAGCCACACUGGGACUGAGACACGGCCCAGACUCCUACGGGAGGCAGCAGUGGGGAAUUUUGGACAAUGGGCGAAAGCCUGAUCCAGCCAUGCCGCGUGAGUGAAGAAGGCCUUCGGGUUGUAAAGCUCUUUCGGACGGAAAGAAAUGGCUUCGGUGAAUAAUCGGAGUCGAUGACGGUACCGUAAGAAGAAGCACCGGCUAACUACGUGCCAGCAGCCGCGGUAA
rnacentral:rRNA from 1 species